AUAGUGUAUAUUCACGUUGCUGCAGUUAAAACGCUCGUAGUCGGAGUGUGGGAGCUGGAGGGCAUGGGCCUUGGCGCAAGCCGAGUGCCCGCAUGUGCCUUCCCCCCAAGCAUUCCUGGGGGUGGCUUGCUCCUUCGGGGGCAUGUCAGCGUCCAGGACGUUUACCUUGAAAAAAUUAGAGUGUUCAAAGCAGGCAUUUUGCUUGAAUAUAUUAGCAUGGAAUAAUGGAAUAGGACCCUGGGUCUUGUUUUGUUGGCUUUACUUGGCCGCGGGUAAUGAUUAAUAGGAGCAGUUGGGGGCAUUUGAACUGGGCGGUUAGAGGUGAAAUUCUUGGAUCCGCCCAAGUCAGACUAGUG
rnacentral:rRNA from 1 species